rfam:Ophiostoma piceae TAMH 11346 chromosome Tnknown scf14, whole genome shotgun sequence.
GGUCUUAUAGUCUAGCGGUUAGGACACUGGAUUCUGAUUCCAGUAGCCCCGGUUCGAUUCCGGGUAAGACCU